rnacentral:rRNA from 1 species
GCGUGCUUAACACAUGCAAGUCGAACGGAAAGGCCCUGCUUUUGUGGGGUGCUCGAGUGGCGAACGGGUGAGUAACACGUGAGUAACCCGCCCUUGACUUUGGGAUAACUUCAGGAAACUGGGGCUAAUACCGGAUAGGAGCUCCUGCUGCAUGGUGGGGGUUGGAAAGUUUCGGCGGUUGGGGAUGGACUCGCGGCUUAUCAGCUUGUUGGUGGGGUAGUGGCUUACCAAGGCUUUGACGGGUAGCCGGCCUGAGAGGGUGACCGGCCACAUUGGGACUGAGAUACGGCCCAGACUCCUACGGGAGGCAGCAGUGGGGAAUAUUGCACAAUGGGCGGAAGCCUGAUGCAGCAACGCCGCGUGCGGGAUGACGGCCUUCGGGUUGUAAACCGCUUUCGCCUGUGACGAAGCGUGAGUGACGGUAAUGGGUAAAGAAGCACCGGCUAACUACGUGCCAGCAGCCGCGGUGAUACGUAGGGUGCGAGCGUUGUCCGGAUUUAUUGGGCGUAAAGGGCUCGUAGGUGGUUGAUCGCGUCGGAAGUGUAAUCUUGGGGCUUAACCCUGAGCGUGCUUUCGAUACGGGUUGACUUGAGGAAGGUAGGGGAGAAUGGAAUUCCUGGUGGAGCGGUGGAAUGCGCAGAUAUCAGGAGGAACACCAGUGGCGAAGGCGGUUCUCUGGGCCUUUCCUGACGCUGAGGAGCGAAAGCGUGGGGAGCGAACAGGCUUAGAUACCCUGGUAGUCCACGCUGUAAACGGUGGGUACUAGGUGUGGGGUCCAUUCCACGGGUUCCGUGCCGUAGCUAACGCUUUAAGUACCCCGCCUGGGGAGUACGGCCGCAAGGCUAAAACUCAAAGGAAUUGACGGGGCCCCGCACAAGCGGCGGAGCAUGCGGAUUAAUUCGAUGCAACGCGUAGAACCUUACCUGGGUUUGACAUGGAUCGGGAGUGCUCAGAGAUGGGUGUGCCUCUUUUGGGGUCGGUUCACAGGUGGUGCAUGGCUGUCGUCAGCUCGUGUCGUGAGAUGUUGGGUUAAGUCCCGCAACGAGCGCAGCCCUUGUUCACUGUUGCCAGCACGUUAUGGUGGGGACUCAGUGGAGACCGCCGGGGUCAACUCGGAGGAAGGUGGGGAUGACGUCAAGUUAUCAUGCCCCUUAUGUCCAGGGCUUCACGCAUGCUACAAUGGCUGGUACAGAGAGUGGCGAGCCUGUGAGGGUGAGCGAAUCUCGGAAAGCCGGUCUCAGUUCGGAUUGGGGUCUGCAACUCGACCUCAUGAAGUCGGAGUCGCUAGUAAUCGCAGAUCAGCAACGCUGCGGUGAAUACGUUCCCGGGGCUUGUACACACCGCCCGUCAAGUCAUGAAAGUUGGUAACACCCGAAGCCGGUGGCCUAACCGUUGUGGGGGAGCCGUCGAAGGUGGGACUGGUGAUUAGGACUAAGUCGU